rnacentral:pre_miRNA from 1 species
UCGUACCUCGUUACAUAACCGUAAUUUAGAUGUUCACAAUCAUUGUUGUAAAAUGAUUUGUGCAACAUUUCUUAUGGAAUGUGGCGAAGUAUGGUC